AGAGUUUGAUCCUGGCUCAGAGCGAACGCUGGCGGCAGGCCUAACACAUGCAAGUCGAGCGCGCAUCCUUCGGGGUGUGAGCGGCGGACGGGUGAGUAACACGUGGGAACGUGCCCUUCGGUUCGGGAUAACUCAGGGAAACUUGAGCUAACACCGGAUACGCCCUUUUGGGGAAAGGUUACGCCGAAGGAGCGGCCCGCGUCUGAUUAGCUAGUUGGUGAGGUAAAGGCUCACCAAGGCUACGAUCAGUAGCUGGUCUGAGAGGAUGAUCAGCCACACUGGGACUGAGACACGGCCCAGACUCCUACGGGAGGCAGCAGUGGGGAAUCUUGCGCAAUGGGCGAAAGCCUGACGCAGCCAUGCCGCGUGAAUGAUGAAGGUCUUAGGAUUGUAAAAUUCUUUCAGCGGGGACGAUAAUGACGGUACCCGCAGAAGAAGCCCCGGCUAACUUCGUGCCAGCAGCCGCGGUAAUACGAAGGGGGCUAGCGUUGCUCGGAUUUACUGGGCGUAAAGGGAGCGUAGGCGGAACAGCAAGUGAGGGGUGAAAGCCCGGGGCUCAACCUCGGAAUUGCCCUUGAGACUGCUGAUCUAGAGUUUGGGAGAGGUGUGUGGAACUCCGAGUGUAGAGGUGAAAUUCGUAGAUAUUCGGAAGAACACCAGUGGCGAAGGCGACACACUGGCCCAAUACUGACGCUGAGGCUCGAAAGCGUGGGGAGCAAACAGGAUUAGAUACCCUAGUAGUCC
rnacentral:rRNA from 1 species